rfam:TPA: Bos taurus chromosome 13, whole genome shotgun sequence.
UCCCUGGUGGUCCAGUGGCUAAGACCCUGUGCUCUCAAUGCAGGGUGCCUGGGUUCUAUCCCUGGUCAGGGAA